rnacentral:rRNA from 1 species
CACGUAGGGUGCGAGCGUUUGUCCGGAAUUAUUGGGCGUAAAGAGCUCGUAGGCGGUGUGUCGCGUCGGCCGUGAAAAACCUGCAGCUUAACUGUGGGCUUGCGGUCGAUACGGGGCAUCACUGGAGUUCGGCAGGGGGAGACUGGAAUUCCUGGUGUAGCGGUGAAAUGCGCAGAUAUCAGGGAGGGAACACCGGUGGGCGAAAGGCGGGGUCUCU